AUACGGAGGGUGCAAGUGUUAUUCGGAAUCACUGGGCGUAAAGGGUGCGUAGGCGGUUUGAUAAGUCUGAUGUGAAAUCCUAUGGCUCAACCAUAGAACUGCAUUGGAAACUGUCAGACUAGAAUACUGAAGGGGCAGAUGGAAUUAGUGGUGUAGGGGUAAAAUCCGUAGAUAUCACUAGGAAUACCGAAAGCGAAAGCGAUCUGCUGGGAAGUUAUUGACGCUGAGGCACGAAAGCGUGGGGAGCAAACGGGAUUAGAAACCCUAGUAGUCC
rnacentral:rRNA from 1 species